GAACAACAUGGUUUUGUUUGAUCAGGGGACUUAUGAUAAGCUCCUUUCUGAAGUUCCGAAGUACAAGCUAGUCACUCCUUCUAUCCUUUCUGAUAGAUUGAGGAUCAAUGGAUCGCUGGCACGAAGAGCAAUUAAGGAUUUGAUGGCACGAGGUUCCAUCAGAAUGAUCUCAGCUCACUCUAGUCAGCAGAUCUACACCAGAGCAACCAACACCUAAGGACAAUAAUAGAUAAUGUAGUGUUGCCUUUCCAUUUUGCAAUUCCGAAUUUUGUUCAGUGAUGGAAUUAUGUUCUAGUCUGUUAUAAUGGC
rnacentral:misc_RNA from 1 species